rnacentral:rRNA from 1 species
UCGGGAAUCUUGGGCAAUGGGCGAAAGCCUGACCCAGCAACGCCGCGUGAGGGAUGAAGGCCUUCGGGUCGUAAACCUCUGUCGGGAGGGAAGAACGAUCGGAGUUCGAAUAGGGCUCUGGUCUGACGGUACCUCCAAAGGAAGCGCCGGCUAACUCCGUGCCAGCAGCCGCGGUAAUACGGAGGGCGCAAGCGUUGUUCGGAAUCAUUGGGCGUAAAGCGCGUGUAGGCGGCCAGGUAAGUCGGGUGUGAAAGCCCGGGGCCCAACCCCGGAACUGCAUUCGAUACUGCUUGGCUGGAGUCCCGGAGAGGAAGGCGGAAUUCCCGGUGUAGAGGUGAAAUUCGUAGAUAUCGGAAAGAACACCAGUGGCGAAAGCGGCUUCCUGGACCAAUACUGACACUAAGGUGCGAAAGCGUGGGGAGCAAACAGGAUUAGAUACCCUUGUAGUCCCUGAGCGGGCUGGCAAGGCGCAU